rnacentral:rRNA from 1 species
AGUCGUACGGUGAGUGAGCCCCUAACGGGGGUACACGAGUGGCGAACGGGUGAGUAACACGUGAGCAACCUGCCCUUGACUUCGGAAUACCAGCUGGAAACAGCUGCUAAUACCGGAUAUGACACUUGCCCUCAUGGGUGGGUGUGGAAAGCUCCGGCGGUCAGGGAUGGGCUCGCGGCCUAUCAGCUUGUUGGUGAGGUAAUGGCUCACCAAGGCUUCGACGGGUAGCCGGCCUGAGAGGGCGACCGGCCACACUGGGACUGAGAUACGGCCCAGACUCCUACGGGAGGCAGCAGUGGGGAAUAUUGCACAAUGGGCGCAAGCCUGAUGCAGCAACGCCGCGUGCGGGAUGACGGCCUUCGGGUUGUAAACCGCUUUCAGUAGGGACGAAGCUAACGUGACGGUACCUACAGAAGAAGGACCGGCUAACUACGUGCCAGCAGCCGCGGUGAUACGUAGGGUCCGAGCGUUGUCCGGAAUUAUUGGGCGUAAAGGGCUUGUAGGCGGUCCGUCGCGUCAGGAGUGAAAACUCGGGGCUUAACCCCGAGCCUGCUUUUGAUACGGGCGGACUAGAGGGAUGCAGGGGAGAACGGAAUUCCUGGUGGAGCGGUGGAAUGCGCAGAUAUCAGGAGGAACACCGGUGGCGAAGGCGGUUCUCUGGGCAUUACCUGACGCUGAGAAGCGAAAGCGUGGGGAGCAAACAGGCUUAGAUACCCUGGUAGUCCACGCCGUAAACGGUGGGCACUAGGUGUGGGGGACAUUCCACGUUCUCCGUGCCGAAGCUAACGCAUUAAGUGCCCCGCCUGGGGAGUACGGCCGCAAGGCUAAAACUCAAAGGAAUUGACGGGGGCCCGCACAAGCGGCGGAGCAUGCGGAUUAAUUCGAUGCAACGCGAAGAACCUUA